rnacentral:rRNA from 1 species
UUGAACGCUGGCGGCAUGCCUUACACAUGCAAGUCGCACGGUAACAGGUCUUCGGAUGCUGACGAGUGGCGACCGGGUGAGUAAUACAUCGGAACGUGCCCAGACGUGGGGGAUAACGAGGCGAAAGCUUUGCUAAUACCGCAUACGAUCUAAGGAUGAAAGCAGGGGACCGCAAGGCCUUGUGCGUUUGGAGCGGCCGAUGGCAGAUUAGGUAGUUGGUGGGAUAAAAGCUUACCAAGCCGACGAUCUGUAGCUGGUCUGAGAGGACGACCAGCCACACUGGGACUGAGACACGGCCCAGACUCCUACGGGAGGCAGCAGUGGGGAAUUUUGGACAAAGGGCGAAAGCCUGAUCCAGCAAUGCCGCGUGCAGGAUGAAGGCCUUCGGGUUGUAAACUGCUUUUGUACGGAACGAAAAGGCUCUGGCUAAUACCUGGGGCACAUGACGGUACCGUAAGAAUAAGCACCGGCUAACUACGUG